GGCCUCCUGUGGGAAUGCAAUCCAAUAAAGUUGGAACGAUACAAAGAGGACUAGCGUGGCCCUUGCCCAAGGAUAACACAACAAAAGCAUACUUCUGAAUGAGGCAUUU